GGUCAUAGGAGUAUCGCUGAACUUCUCAUCCGUAAAGGAGCCAAUACUGGUAUUAAAAAUGAUGCGAAUCUUGUACCCCUUCAAAUAGCUGUUAAUAAUGGUUACGAUGAUGUCGCCAAACUUUUUAUCGGUAAAGGAAACAAAGUUAAUAUUGAAGAGCAAUUGGGAUAGAUUGCAUUGGUCACUAACAAUGGUGACGAAUAGCUGAACCAAUUGAGCUGAAUUAUUGGAUGAUUUCCUUUGAUUCCCCUUUUCGAUUGUAGUGUAGAAUAAAUUUUAAUUUUUUUUGUCAAUCUAUGACCAUACAA